rnacentral:tRNA from 2 species
GGCGAGAUAGUUCAGUUGGCUAGAACACACGGUUCAUACCCGUGAUGUCGAGGGUUCGAAUCCCCCUCUCGCUACCA